rnacentral:lncRNA from 1 species
AUGCCACUCGAGGAACACUUAGUUGAGCCCCUUCGCGACGCUGCUGCAGCUCUCCUCUCCCUCCUCCCCUCCCACCUGCGGGGAACCGGGGUCCCAACCGCCCAGACUGCGUCAUGGAAUCCGCUCGCUCCUUUCAAGUAUAUCGCUCCACCUUCUUCCUCGGGGUCGACUCCUGAUUGGUGUGGUCACUCAGCCGCCCUCUCCGCCCCGCCGGUGUGGCUCCGCCCCCAGGACGGCCACAGGCUCCUCCUCCCCGUUCCCCGCCUUGCGCUGCUCCUCCAGCUAAUCUACUGGCGGCGCGCGGAGAAGUUCUGGGCAAAGUACCGGGAACUGGCCGCGCGACCGCAGCGCCACCGAGCCAGGCAGGGCAGUGCAAGGAGACCCCAGCGCAAGGCGGCCGGUGCACGGCGCGGGCUCGGGCCCCGCUGUCCUUCAGCGAGCGGCCGUCCCCGCCUCGGGCUCCUGCGGCUGGCACGGGAACUGUCGGCUGCGCGUUGCGGAGGGACCGGAGAAGCGGGCUUUGCCGCCUCCCGAGUGUGUGGACCAAGCCCGAAGCCGCACACCGGAGAAGUUGGCGGCGUCCCCGGCGGCGGAGCGUGCAGGGAAGAACCGGCUGGUGGGGCAGCCCCGAGCAGGGGAGAUUGCGGUCGCGGCCGGCGCCAGGCUCCGGGGAGGUAGGGCCGUGGUGCUGCUCUGAAGGGGACUGUUUGGCCGGGAUUGACGGCGAGGAGACGGCGAGGAGGCGCCGAACGCGGGCGCCUGGGUCCGGGCGCCGGAGGAUUCGGCGCGGAGAGGCUGUCCUGGGCAGCCGAGAGGCGCGGCGCCGGGGUGAGAGGCACAGGAAACCUGUGUAAGUGGGCCGAGCGCUAGGCUUUACCACAUCCGCAGGUUGGGGCGUGCUGGGGGGACCCGGGCGACGCUGGCCUUGCAGGCGCCCAGCUCGCCUGCGUCCCCUGGCUCGUCUUGCCCCACUCCCGGUUUUCCCCGCCAGGGGCACCCGCCCCUUGGGCGUCCGAGCGCCCUGGGAAACGUUUGCAGCCUCUAGAGUCCCUGAAGGGCAUUAUGGUAGAUCGUCCAGAUAUUUAUUUCUUUCCGGAGCAAGCCGCCGUCCUUCGUUAAAGCAACUUUCCGGCCACCUUCGGCACACUUGUACUCUUCUUCCUGCGUCUCACAAAGUACCAGUCUCAGUCGGGACCCUGAGCUGAGGGGGCUCUGAAGUCGUCGGUUUUGACCUGUCUGGGAACUGUGCUAAGGUGCAUCUGAAGUCCCCUCCCCCCCAGAUGGUGCACUGACCCUCACAGUUUGAGAACUGGGCUGGGCGUUUAUAAAUAUUUUAAGCUGCAGCUGCAAAAGAGAUCCUAACACAGGUAAAAAUGUGGGUCUUACUUCAGAUCUUCCACACUCUACAUCCGAGCAUCUUACAAGAUGAGGUUUCCCCUUCUGGCCAAAGGACACCAGGCAGGCUUGGGCUGAAAUACACCCUAGCUAAAUGACCAUUUCCGCCCCCCCCCCCCAACUUGCUGGCACUCCACCCUGUUUGGUGUUCCUCAUAGCGCUCUCUCUCUGAAAUUAUCUCCUUGGGCUGUUUACUAUCUGUCUUCCCCCACUAGAAUGGAAGUUCCAGGAAAGCAGAGACCUUACCGGUCUUGUUCAUCACUCCGUCCCCAAAGUCAGCAACAGUGCCUGACACACAGGAGGUCUGUAAGAAAAAAUUAUGGAAUAAAUGAAUAAAAACUCUGUAAAAUAUGAAGAAUGGUGGUUUCAUACCUGGUUUUGAUUUUCGUGCUUAUUUAUCCGUUUUUUUUUCUAUUGGGAAAAUUAACAAAUACCAAUAAUUACUAUAGAUUGAGUACCUACUAAGACCUGGAUAUGUGCUAGAACUUUAUAUAGAUUACCUCAUUAAACAUUAUCACAGUCUUAUUAUUAGCUAGGUAUGUCUAAGCAGAUGGGAAGUUGAAGCUCUAGCAGCUUAACCAGUUUCCCCGAGAUUAUCCUGACAGAACUAAAAUUCUAGUUCAUUUUCUGUUGUGCUGGACCACUUCCAAGAAACUAAAAUGUGGUUUUCACUAUUACAAUCAAUAGAC